rnacentral:rRNA from 1 species
UAAGACGUAGGAUGCGAGCGUUGUCCGGAUUUAUUGGGCGUAAAGAGUUCGUAGGUGGUUUGUUAAGUCUGAUGUUAAAGACUGAGGCUCAACCUCGGGAGUGCAUUGGAUACUGGCAGACUGGAGUGUAGUAGAGGCAAGCGGAAUUCCCAGUGUAGCGGUGAAAUGCGUAGAUAUUGGGAAGAACACCAGUGGCGUAAGCGGCUUGCUGGGCUAUAACUGACACUGAGGAACGAAAGCCAGGGGAGCAAAUGGGAUUAGAUACCCCAGUAGUCCUGGCCGUAAACGAUGGAUACUAGGCGUAGCGGGUAUCGACCCCUGCUGUGCCGCAGCUAACGCGAUAAGUAUCCCGCCUGAGUAGUACGGCCGCAAGGUUG